CUUAACCAAGUGAGCCGCCCAGGUGCCCUCCGAAUUCCAUUUUUAAACAGAGGACUAUUUAGGUCAUCCAUUUCUUCCUAAGUAAGCAUCUACAUUUCCAGGAAUUUGUCUAUGCCAUGUAAGUUCUCUGAUUUGUUGACAUAAAAUUGUUCAUAAACUUCCCUCACUAUCCUUGUAAAUGUCCGAGGACCUAUAGCAAUCUCCUGUCUUCUUUUCCACGAUGUAAGUACUUUUCAAGCCUCUGCUUCUGUCACCUAUCCUAUCGUCCCAUUGGCCAAAAUAAGUCCCAGGGCUAAGCCCUGACUCAGUGUGGAUGGGGAUCCCCUGAAUGGGUGGAGACAAGCAGAUGUGAACAAAUUGGGAGCCAUAACUUCAACAGUCUGCCAUAGAGAAACCUCCUUGCAGAAGGUUUCUGCCCCUAAGGAACAGAUCUGUUCUUAUGACUUGCUUGGCAACUUCGUGAGGCGAGUUUCAUGCCCGCACGUUCAACAAGAGUGUUGGACAUUCAUUAAGACCACCUUGUCGUAUGGUCUCCCUGUCUAUAAUCCAGGCUACAUCUCUCUCUCCCAGAGCGCUCACCACAACUGUAAUUAAAUAAUUGUGUCUUUGGCUGUUCUGUGUCUUGUGUUCCCACAGGAACAUAAGCUCCAUGAGGACAGAGACGGCGUCUGUCUUCAUCCAGGAUGAAUCCCCAGCUCCUGGCACAUAGUCGUUGCCGGACUCUCUGUUCCUGUAUCUACUGUGAACCCUCCAGCAGGCCCCAAACACCGGGGAGCACUCCCACCUUCCAGAAACCCCCACCCUCUGUGUUUCCUCUCCCAGAUUCUGUCUCGUUUUCCACGGGGGGUCUUGUUUUCCACGGGGGUUCAAUUUCUGCCUUCCACGCGGACAUCCCAGGUCCUGGCCACGAUGACUCUUGAGAGUUCCCAAGCCAAAGGGUCUUGGCAGACGGCGGCAUCAUGGGACCCAAAGUUUAUACGUGACUUGUUUUUUUCCCAGUGUGUCCUUUGCUGUGCCCUCAGGGUUGGCAAGGGCCGGUGGGGCGCAGCAACGAGUUAGGGGGUGCUACGCAAGCUUCAUCCGGGUUGAGUCCUCACAGGCUUCACCAAUGUCAGAGAAGCAGCCAGAGCCCCCCUUCUGUCUCCACUUCUCCCUCUACCCUCCAUCCCCUGCAAUCACGUAGGUCUUCAUGCUCUAUACGUGCAAAGUGAUGGCCUCACUCUGCCCAAAGACCGUCUCCUACCAGAGGGAGAAAAAACAGACACGAAGCGGACAGAAAAUUUCUUCCCACCAACGAUGUGCAAAACAAAGAAGGCGUUCUAGAGAUAAUCUGUCUCCCUUGACCUACAUCAAUACAGACUGUGUGUGUG